rnacentral:rRNA from 1 species
UUGUUUGGGAAUGUCAGCUCAAAAUGGGUGGUAAAUUCUCAUCUAAAGCUAAAUACAGGCGAGAGACCGAUAGCGAACAAGUACCGUGAGGGAAAGAUGAAAAGCACUUUGGAAAGAGAGUAAAACAGUACGUGAAAUUGUUGAAAGGGAAACGCUUGAAGUCAGUCGUGUCUGCGGGGACUCAGCUUGGCUUUUGCCUAGUGUACCUUCCUGUUGACAGGCCAACAUCAAUUUUGACUGGCAGACAAAGGCCAGAGAAAUGUGGCAGCUUUUGCUGUGUUAUAGUCUCUGGUUGUAUGUGUCAGUUGGGAUUGAGGAAUCCGGUAUGCAAGUACCUGGGAUGUUGGCGUAAUGGCUUUAAACGACCCGUCUUGAAACACGGACC